rnacentral:rRNA from 1 species
CCUACGGGAGGCAGCAGUGGGGAAUAUUGGACAAUGGGGGGAACCCUGAUCCAGCCAUGCCGCGUGUGUGAAGAAGGCCUUAUGGUUGUAAAGCACUUUAAGCGAGGAGGAGGCUACUGAGACUAAUACUCUUGGAUAGUGGACGUUACUCGCAGAAUAAGCACCGGCUAACUCUGUGCCAGCAGCCGCGGUAAUACAGAGGGUGCGAGCGUUAAUCGGAUUUACUGGGCGUAAAGCGUGCGUAGGCGGCUUUUUAAGUCGGAUGUGAAAUCCCCGAGCUUAACUUGGGAAUUGCAUUCGAUACUGGGAAGCUAGAGUAUGGGAGAGGAUGGUAGAAUUCCAGGUGUAGCGGUGAAAUGCGUAGAGAUCUGGAGGAAUACCGAUGGCGAAGGCAGCCAUCUGGCCUAAUACUGACGCUGAGGUACGAAAGCAUGGGGAGCAAACAGGAUUAGAUACCCUGGUAGUCCAUGCCGUAAACGAUGUCUACUAGCCGUUGGGGCCUUUGAGGCUUUAGUGGCGCAGCUAACGCGAUAAGUAGACCGCCUGGGGAGUACGGUCGCAAGACUAAAACUCAAAGGAAUUGACGG